rnacentral:rRNA from 1 species
AGUGAACGCUGGCGGUAGGCCUAACACAUGCAAGUCGAACGGCAGCACAGUAAGAGCUUGCUCUUACGGGUGGCGAGUGGCGGACGGGUGAGGAAUACAUCGGAAUCUACUUUUUCGUGGGGGAUAACGUAGGGAAACUUACGCUAAUACCGCAUACGACCUACGGGUGAAAGCAGGGGAUCUUCGGACCUUGCGCGAUUGAAUGAGCCGAUGUCGGAUUAGCUAGUUGGCGGGGUAAAGGCCCACCAAGGCGACGAUCCGUAGCUGGUCUGAGAGGAUGAUCAGCCACACUGGAACUGAGACACGGUCCAGACUCCUACGGGAGGCAGCAGUGGGGAAUAUUGGACAAAGGGCGCAAGCCUGAUCCAGCCAUACCGCGUGGGUGAAGAAGGCCUUCGGGUUGUAAAGCCCUUUUGUUUGGAAAGAAAAGCAGCAGGUUAAUACCCCGCUGUUCUGACGGUACCCAAAGAAUAAGCACCGGCUAACUUCGUG